AGAGUUUGAUCAUGGCUCAGAACGUACGCUGGCGGCACGCCUAACACAUGCAAGUCGAACGAAGUAGCAAUACUUAGUGGCAGACGGGUGAGUAACAUGUGGGUAUCUGCCCUUUGGCCUGGAAUAACACGAGGAAACUUGUGCUAAUACCGGAUAAGUCUUUACGGAGAAAGCUUUAUGCACCAUUGGAUGAGCCUGCACUUGAUUAGUUUGUUGGUAGGGUAAUGGCCUACCAAGACUGUGAUCAAUAGCUGAUUUGAGAGGAUGAUCAGCCACAUUGGGACUGAGACACGGCCCAAACUCCUACGGGAGGCAGCAGUGGGGAAUCUUGCACAAUGGAGGAAACUCUGAUGCAGCGAUGCCGCGUGAGUGAAGAAGGCCUUUGGGUUGUAAAGCUCUUUCGUCGGGGAAGAAAAUGACUGUACCCGAAUAAGAAGGUCCGGCUAACUUCGUGCCAGCAGCCGCGGUAAUACGAAGGGACCUAGCGUAGUUCGGAAUUACUGGGCUUAAAGAGUUCGUAGGUGGUUGAAAAAGUUGGUGGUGAAAUCCCAGAGCUUAACUCUGGAACUGCCAUCAAAACUUUUCAGCUAGAGUAUGAUAGAGGAAAGCAGAAUUUCUAGUGUAGAGGUGAAAUUCGUAGAUAUUAGAAAGAAUACCAAUUGCGAAGGCAGCUUUCUGGAUCAUUACUGACACUGAGGAACGAAAGCAUGGGUAGCGAAGAGGAUUAGAUACCCUCGUAGUCCAUGCCGUAAACGAUGUGUGUUAGACGUUGGAAAUUUAUUUUCAGUGUCGCAGGGAAACCGAUAAACACACCGCCUGGGGAGUACGACCGCAAGGUUAAAACUCAAAUGAAUUGACGGGGACCCGCACAAGUAGUGGAGCAUGUGGUUUAAUUCGAAGAUACGCGCAGAACCUUACCAACACUUGACAUGUUCGUCGCGACUCUAAGAGAUUAGAGUUUUCGGUUCGGCCGGACGAAACACAGGUGCUGCAUGGCUGUCGUCAGCUCGUGUCGUGAGAUGUUGGGUUAAGUCCCGCAACGAGCGCAACCCUUGCCCCUAGUUGCCAGCGGAUAACGCCGGGGACUCUAGGGGGACAGUCGGCGAUAAGCCGGAGGAAGGUGGGGAUGACGUCAAGUCCUCAUGGCCCUUACGUGUUGGGCUACACACGUGCUACAAUGGCAUCUACAACAGGAAGCAAAACGGCAACGUUAAGCAAAUCCCGAAAAGAUGCCUCAGUUCGGAUUGCACUCUGCAACUCGAGUGCAUGAAGCUGGAAUUACUAGUAAUCGUGGAUCAGCGUGCCACGGUGAAUGCGUUCCCGGGUCUUGUACACACCGCCCGUCACACCAUGGGAGUUGGUUCUACCUUAAGGCAAGGUUUCAAACCCUUGACCACGGUAUAGUCAGCGACUGGGGUGAAGUCGUAACAAGGUAGCCGUAGGGGAACCUGCGGCUG
rnacentral:rRNA from 1 species